rnacentral:tRNA from 1 species
GGAGAGGUGGCCGAGCGGCUGAAGGCAGCUGCCUGCUAAGCAGUUAUGGGGGAAACUCCAUCCAGGGUUCGAAUCCCUGCCUCUCCG